rnacentral:tRNA from 4 species
GGAAGGCAAUCGCGCCCGGUGGCGCGGCCGGGCUUCAAACCCGGUUGGGGACGGCAUCCGUUCCCGGGCCGGUUCGACUCCGGCUGCCUUCCGCCA